rnacentral:misc_RNA from 1 species
AGAUGAAGAACGCAGCGAAAUGCGAUACUUGGUGUGAAUUGCAGAAUCCCGUGAAUCAUCGAGUCUUUGAACGCAAGUUGCGCCCGAAGCCUUUUGGCCGAGGGCACGUCUGCCUGGGUGUCACGCAACGUCGCCGCCGGCACAUCCUUCCCUUAGGGGAUCGUGAUGUAGCUGGGGGCGGAUUUUGGCCUCCCGUGCGCCUCAGCGCGCGCGGUUGGCCUAAAUUUCAGCUCACGGCGAGGAUCGCCACGACAAGCGGUGGUUUUUUUGAACUAAGGACCUCGGGUGUUGUCGUGCGGCCUCGCGGAGAGAAGGAACCCCGUGCGCUUGCGCACUCUCUUAACGAGACCCCAGGUCAGUCGGGAACACCCGCUGAAUUUAAGCAUAUCAAUAAGCGGAGGA